UACGAAGGUCCCGAGCGUUGUUCGGAAUCACUGGGCGUAAAGGGAGCGUAGGCGGUUGGGUAAGUCAGAUGUGAAAUCCCGGGGCUCAACCUCGGAACUGCAUCCGAUACUGCCUGGCUUGAGUGAUGGAGAGGUGGCUGGAAUUCUCGGUGUAGCAGUGAAAUGCGUGGAUAUCGAGAGGAACACCCGCGGCGAAAGCGGGCCACUGGACAUUGACUGACGCUGAGGCUAGAAGGCCAGGGGAGCGAAAGGG
rnacentral:rRNA from 1 species